UGAAACGUUUCAACGAUGUCAACUAUGAAGUUUUUUACUCUAAUACAAACUAGCGCUCUUCAGUCGAGUGGCUAGAGUUGUAACUAAAAGUUUUGGAAGAUAAAAUAUUUUACAUAUAUAAUUGAGAAUUUGGAAUUUUCCUACUAAGAAAACCAUUUUGCCUACCUACCAACCAUAAUUGUUAACUUGGAAAUAGAUAUGCAGUAAAACAUUAAAUUAUUUAGACAAGGGUUUUCCGCUUCGGAAUCAUUUUUAAUCCCAUCACGGUUGUCAAUUGCCGGUUUGCAACAAUCGUAAUUGGUCGUCCAAUGUUUCUCUAAGGAUUUCAAUGAAACGAACACAUUUUCGCAAUUGCCACACGGAAACGCACUGUUUGGUUCCCUGUGAAGGCGUUGAUGGGACACCAAGCUAUGCUUACGGCGGAAGCUUUUUUUGCAAAUGUCGCAAUUGUGCCUUCCAGCAUUGUAGUGUAGUUUCCGGUGCCUUAUCAACUGAUGACUAUAUUUCAUCUGCAUUCCGCAGAUGUCACACUUGUACUGCCGGAUGUUGGAGUGGCACAUUCGAAGGGCUUUUGCCUGGUAUGGGUUAGCAUGUGCGUUGUCAGCUGGUAGGCACGGACGAAUCUUUUCGAGCAUACUGUACAGGCAUAAUGUCUUUGUUUAUCCGUGUGUAGGCGCUCUAUGUGAUUCUUGAGUGAUUUAAACUCUACUCCACAGAUUUCACAUGUAGACCGGAGCGGACACAAAUGUUUGUGUACUUUUUGA